AUGAGCAACUGCACAAAUCUCAAAACCAUUGAUCUGAAGAUCAACAACUUCACUGGAGAUCUAGGGAAGGUAAACUUCGCCACCCUACAGAAUCUAAAAAGUUUAGAUCUCAUGGAGAAUAAUCUUGGUGGCAUAGUUCCAGAAAGCAUUUACUCAUGCAGCAAUUUGACUGCACUGCGGUUGUCAGCCAACCAUUUCCAUGGUGAGAUCUCCCUGAGAAUAGGCAAUCUGAAGCACCUGUCCUUCGUAUCACUUAGUAGAAACUCCUUUACGAAUAUCACAAAAGCUUUGCAUGCUCUUAAGAGCUGCAGGAACAUCAGCACUCUGCUUAUUGGCAGAAACUUUAUGAAUGAGGCCAUGCCACAAGAUGAAAGCAUUGACGGUUUUCAGAAUCUUCAGUUUCUCGCCAUGCACCAGUGUUCAUUGACUGGGAGGAUACCUACUUGGUUAUCAAAGCUCACAAGGCUGAAGGUACUAGUAUUAUCUAAAAAUCAACUUACUGGACCAAUGCCAAGCUGGAUCAACUCCCUAAACAACCUCUUCCAUCUGGACGUAUCAAACAACAGUCUUUCUGGGAAAAUCCCAGUCACCUUGAUGGAGAUGGCAAUGCUAAAAUCAGAUAAGCCUGCCAUCUAUUUGGACCCAAGUCUCGUUGACCUUGAUCUACUUAUUUAUGCUGUGGAUGCAUCAAAACUUCAAUACCGCAUAAACAGUGAUUGGUGCAAAGUGCUGAAUCUCGGUAACAAUAAAUUCACAGGUGUGAUCCCACAAGAGAUUGGUCAGCUGAAAGCACUCCUUUACCUGAACUUGAGUUCCAACAACUUCUAUGGAGAGAUCCCACAAUCAAUCGGCAACCUCACUAACCUUCAGAGGUUAGAUUUGUCUAAUAACCAUCUGACUGGUGAAAUUCCUGCAGCAUUGGAGAUCCUUCACUUCCUUUCAGAGUUCACCAUUUCUAACAAUGACCUAGAAGGACCUAUUCCAACAACAGGCCAGCUGAGCACAUUUCAAGCUUCUAGUUUUAAUGGGAACCCAAAGCUGUGUGGCCCUAUGCUUAUUAACCAUUGUAGUUCGGUUGAAGCGGCUCCCAUCUCCAUCAUUUCUGCAAAAAAAUGCAGCAGUAAGGUCAUUUUUGUGACAGCCUUUGGUGUGUUCUUUGGGGUAGGAGUGCUAUAUGACCAGUUAGUAUUAUUUAGAUAUUUUGGCUAA
rnacentral:rRNA from 1 species